GAAGUUCUUCAUGCGAUUGUUAGUUAUCUGUCGUGCUAUUUUAGUAUGAUUGUUAUUAGCAGUUGUUUUGUGAAAUGUAUUAUCAAAAUCAAUGUUUAUUGAACGCAGAUUCAGUUUAUUUUCAGAUGUACCUAGGUACCCUUACACUUCACUCAUCUCAAGCUGUUCAAACACCCUUGACAAAGUCGAUUAAGAUGAAACGUUGGGUAUAAUUUAUACUGUGUUUUCUCUGCAUUAUUAACAUAUUCAUCAUAUAUACAAUAUAAGGGCCACAUGCUUUUUACAGGGAGACAUGUCAGACAGCCCAGUAGGAUGAGGCUUCGUCAAGCGUCAUUUUUAGCAACGCUUUUCUUGCUUAAAAUCCAGUCUGCAAAACAUGGCAGGGCUUACACUUUGGCUUACACUUGACUCCCAGCUGUUGUGUCUUUGCUAUGCGAUGUUAAACAUAUAAAACAUCUUACUAUUCAUGUAUGCGCCAUGACUCAUGUAAUCUUUUCACAGCCAAGACGCUCCUAAGGUACUGGGAAUGUGGGGAGUGCAGCAGCAUCAGUGCAGCACCGAUGGUCGGAUGCGACGGCUGCGAUAAAUGGUACCACUUCCGUUGUGCGGGACUGACUAAGGAGCCAGAAACACCGACAUGGCGAUGCAGGUGGCGCUGCCUGGUGAGGCCGCGGUCUCCGGAAUCGCCUGCAGACGAAGUCACCUGGCGUCCAUCUGCACAUCACUUGCAGCAGUGAGGCCUGCUGACAGCGUCUGGCAGUGUCGGCAACGUGCCAGACAGCUAUCUGGAGUCCUGCUCACCGCAGGUCGCCGACAGGAGGGGCGACGCAUCGUCUCCGAGGUCGCCUCAGCAGCAGUGAGACCCCACUGGCCGUCUUCUUAGGCUUCAACUAGAUUGCGAACAACCUAUGCUGAGACAACGCCCAUGACGUGUGAUCCGGUACCGCUACCGCACUGCGUGCCUGUGCCCGCCGUGAGCCGGCUAGUGCAUGGGUUCGACCAUGAGAAUAUGUGUUUAUGUUGCUUUUACUAUUGUUUAUACGUUGAAGUGACGAAUUGUUUAUUUUUCGCAAGCCUCCGCUGUCCGGUUGCCUGCAGCUCCAUGCAACGCCAGCUGUACUGUUGUUUUAAUGUUGUCUCUCCGCUCAGCUGUGCUGUUGCCUCUCCGCUCAUAACAACCUAUGCUGAGACAACGCCCAUGACGUGUGAUCCGGUACCGCUACCGCACUGCGCGCCUGUGCCCGCCGUGAGCCGCUAGUGCAUGGGUUCGACCAUGAGAAUAUGUGUUUAUGUUGCUUUUACUAUUGUUUAUACGUUGAAGUGACAAAUUGUUUAUUUUUCGCAAGCUUCCGCUGUCCGGUUGCCUGCAGCUCCAUGCAACGCCAGCUGUACUGUUGUUUUAAUGUUGUCUCUCCGCUCAGCUGUACUGUUGCCUCUCCGCUCAUAUAUGACACCCUCUACAUGAAUGGCACCACUGAUUGUCACACCUACUGUCCGUAUUGUCCGUAGUGGUGUCUGAGCAGUAAUCGCCACGCACUUUCAGAAUGUGGAUCGCUCAUGAUUGUUCAAUACAAUACAAUACAAUAC